CAUUCUUAUUUCAUAUCAAUAUGCAUUCACUUAGCAUUCUUACAUUAGCAUUUCUACACAUGCAACAUGACUAACAUAUGUCAUUUACUUUAUCCUUUCCACUUAGCAUUAUUUACACUAUGUCAUUAUGCAUUACUUAGCAUUCUCACAUUAUGACCAUAUGCAUUAUUUGGUAGCCUAACAUAGCAUUUCACCUUAUGCAUUUAUGUGUUCUACCACUAGCUACCAUUACAUGCAUUAAUAGUAAGCACUAGUCUUAGAUAUACAGGCGACCUACUCGCUUCGGUAAACACAACCCACCUAGAUUCGCUCUCCGAUUGCUUGUAGUCACUAGCAAUCGGCCUCCCGCGGCACCCGUGAUCUCGUUUGGCCCGAACUCUCGCGCGACCAAUCGAACGGCCUCCAAUCCACGAUCCGGAAAUUAAAGGUCUACGAUUAGUUGCCACGAGCCCACGAUUCCGUUUUCAUGAUUUUAGGACCUCACCUCGGCCCUCCAGGCGGAAACGAAGCCGAAACGUCUGUUUCUUCAAUAUCUUCACACCGGCUCGACGAAUCGCCGAACCGACUUUGCCAACGCGUUCGUAUACCUAGCAAUUAGGUUUACGGAGGGUCAAUUGAGAUCAAACCCAUGCAAAUACAAAAACCCUCUUUAGAACCCUAGCAUGCACAUAUACUCCAAAUAACCCAUAAUCUCAUGGAGAAACAUGCAUUCAGUAACCUAGGGAUCAUUAGAAUACUAAGCAUAAAGGAUUUAACCAAAUCCUAAACUCUUACCGAUUUGCGAACGCCGAGUCGGAAGCACCCCGCUCAAACGGGCGCACGAACGCUCGAUCCGUCGCCUCCCACGCGUUCGUAGCGUCGCUCUCCACCAAACCUCCGAAUUAGGGAGAUGGAUUUAGAGAGAUGAAGUGGGAAAGCUAGAGAGAAGGAGGAGCUUCUCUCUCUAGCUCAUGUGUGUGUGUGUGGUGUGAAGAAGGAGAGGAAGAGGUUGAGACCUCUUUCUAAAGCAAUCCCCCCACAAUUACAAUCAGCCCCCUGCUGUUUCUGGGCAAUUUUCGUGUUCAGGGUCCAGACCCUGAAGCUAGGGUCCGGACCCUGUAGGUCCAGACAGCCCGAAAUUAAGGACUUAGCCAAAUUUCAGCCUUUUUCAUCGUUUCUUCUCUGUUUUCGCUCGUUUGACCUCCGAUUCUUUUCAAAUCAAACCGAGACUCUCCAAACAUGUUUUCGAGUGUGUUUUCAUCAUCUUUCCAUCCACGCUAAUGCCGGAUUUAGUUCAUGAUCCAAUAUAGCCUUUCGGGUCCCGUCUUCGCGCUUGCGCGCACCGAAGCACCCGAAUGUUUCCGAACUUCACCGGAACCAUUCUAUCGGCUCUCCAAACUAACAUACACCGUAAUUUCAUAAUCUUAGAAGUCCGCUAUGUUACAUUCUCCCCUCCUUAAAAAGAGUUUCGUUCGCGAAACUCAAUUCACAUCUCAAUUUGACUUAUCGAACAAUUGAGGGUACCAAUGCACUUUUCUACUCCGGAGUGGCCUUUCACUCACCGGAAUUAUCCAAAUGCCCACUACGGAGAAUGUGAGACCAGAUUCACUCACAUUUGCCAAGUAUAACUCCAAAAGUGCAUUACCAUCAUGCAAGAACCAUUCUUUGCAUUACACACUUAAUCGGAAAAUUCACUCCGACUCGAUCACCAGCAUUGCUUAAAAGCAAUAACGUUGGUGCAUCGACCAAUCGCGAGUGCUCCAAUCCCCACGAGAUACUUUAGCUCGAACGUGAGAUGGCCUACUUCGGCACAUCUCCAAUCUCAACACUCAAGAGAGCAUUAUCCUCAAUCUCACGUGGCUAUCCACUAUCCAAGUGUCUCCUAGAGAUCACUUUACUUUCUCUUUCAAUUGCCACGGCCAUUGCCAAUCCAUUCUCGCAAUAAACUCACACGAACACUCCGUUCAUAAAUCUAAGCCAAACUCCUCAACAAAGUUACCGGCCAAAUCAAUUACCUUAGUUUCCACAGGUGGUCCAUAGACCGCCAAUUCCACGAAGACCUACCGCCUAAACCUAUCUCAGCAACGCAUCGCGUCUCUCACUCGCAGCGUAAACCCAAUCAACAUUACUAGGCGAAAUUCUCAUUUGGGAAUUCGCACACACUCCAACUAGGAGCAACCAUGACCCCAAACCAUGUCAUAUCCUCGGGUUGGGUCACAACCGCAUUCUUAGUGCAUCAUCGAUCUCAUGCUCCAAUGCGUGGCAUUCCACGCUCCCGUGUCUAAGCUCGGACUACCGCUGUCAUGCCCCGAGGCCGCCUAUUUGGUCGAUUUCGGGCAUGCCAACAGACCGCCAAACGAACAGGAUUUUUUCUGUACCGCGGACAGAGUCUCCCCUGUACGUCCAAGGCGUCGCAAUCAAUACAAUGUACGAAGUUCCAACCAGGAACACAUUUCAAUCAAAGAUUGCAUAAGGAAGUAUCAAAAACAUAAUCUACUUGUUAUUACAGGCAUUCACAUUCACUAGAUACAUUUUACAUUACAAUUACAUAUUAUAUUUAACUUCCAAAUACAAUCAUGCUUUUAUUACAAAUUAUUGCAAUCUUAUUCCUUUCAUUUUCUUACAUCCCUAAGUAGCUGACUCAGGGUACCGCUAUCUCUGGUUUCGGUGGUAGGGCGCUAACUAUGGAGCUAUGCCCUCGCCUCGCGCCGCCGCGCCGCUCACGUGUGAACCUGUAACAUCCCAAAACAAUGUGGGGUGAGAACCAACUCCAUAGUUUUCAGUGGGUACGGCCACCCAAGGGAAAAGCUCAACCAAUAGGUCUAAUGAGGCACUGCAACAAGUUAGUCCAAUAACAUAUAACAGAUAUUUAAACUUUUACCCGAUAUUGAACUAACAUGUCAUGCCUCGCGAUAUGCAAUAUGAAAUCAUGCAACUAUACAAGUAGAAUAAAUGAUUUUACUUUCUAUCAUGCUAUCCAUAGUUUUUCCAUAAUUUAUACACCUUGUCACUUUACAUCAUUGGUUAUUUGCACCCAAGAUUUUCCUCUACCCUAGCCAAGCCAACCACCCGACCCGGUCUCGAGUCAAUCAUCUGCAGAAUACCGCAUACAUCCAGGCUCGAGGUGAAGGACGUCUCACAUGCACCUCAGCCAUAAAGCCACUCAAUUGGAAUACCAAAUCCAUAGCUCAUAAUGCAUACUUUCACACAUUCACUUUGGCCUUUACCCAAUUAUCUCGGUUAACACUUGUUAAUCCCCAAACUCACAAUCCAUAUAUCCCGUCUACCGAGGGAGGCACUUGGCACUACCACCCGAGGGAUCUUCGCCGGGGUACUCUCCCCGUGGUGUCUACACUCCGGAGUACACCGCUUGAGGAGGAGCUACCUGUCUCAAGCCUGAACCAAUGUGAGUAUGAUCCAAUUCCCAAUUCGAAAAUAUAUAGCCACAAUGACAUAACCAGGUCCUACCUUAUCACAUAUGCCACUCCCUAGGCCACACUUGCCAUAACAUAGGUUUACUUGACUCUAGAUUUAAUUCACAACCUAUGUUCACGACCCAAGGUUAAUGCCACUCACCUAGAUUUAAUUACCUCUAGGUUCAUUCUCCACCUAUGUUCUUUAACACUAGGUUCAUGUCCAACCUAUGUUCUUUAACACUAGGUUCAUGUCCGACCUAUGUUCUUUUACACUAGGUUCAUGUCCAACCUAUAUUCUUUAACACUAGGUUCAUGUCCGACCUAUGUUCUUUCACACUAGGUUCAAUGCCACUUGAUGUCCAACCUAUGUUUUUUCACACUAGAUUUCAUAUCAUCCAUGUUCAACCUAUGUUCAUUCACACUAGGUUCACUGCCACUUAAUCUAAUAUAUAGAUGUCCAAUGUCGAGGUCUCUACUCUAGAGUUAUCGAUCCAAUUCAUGCAUCCUCUUACAAUGCUAAUCAUGCAUCAUGCAAUUAUCUAGCAUUUACAUAACAUACUUAUCAUGCAUUCUUUACAACUUAUCAUUAUACAUUACAACUAGCAUGUUCUCUACUUUACGUUAACAUGCAAAUGCCAUUUACCUCAUGCUUUUAACUAGCAUCAUUUAUAUUACAUCAUCAUACAUUCUACCAUUUCUAUAUUACAUCAUUAGCAUGCAUUCCCUUUAGCAUUUACUACAUGCAUCCACUUAGCAUUCUUACAUUAGCAUUUCUAUACAUGCAACAUGACUAACAUAUGUCAUUUACUUUAUGCUUUCCACUUAGCAUUAUUUACACUAUGUCAUUAUGCAUUACUUAGCAUUCUCACAUUAUGACCAUAUGCAUUAUUUGGUAGCCUAACAUAGCAUUCAUUUCAUGCAUUUAUACAUUCUACCACUAGCUACCAUAAUAUGCAUCAAUGAUAAACACUCAUCUUAGACAUACAGGCGACCUAGUCGCUUCGGUAAACACAACCCACCUCAAAUCGCUUUCCGAUUGCUUGUCGACACUUGCAAUCGGCCUCCCGCGGCACCCGUAACCCGGUUCGGCCCGAUUUUGCAAAUACUCACCAACUGUGCGUCGAAUCGCGGCUCCGAAAAUUAUAGGUCUUCGGUUAUGUGCCACGGUGCUCCAAAUCCGUUUUCAUGAUUUUACGAUGUCGUCUCGGCCCUCUAGGCGGAAACGAAGCCUAAACGUCCGUUUCUUUAAUAACUUCGCGUAGGCUCGACGAAUCGCCGAACCGACUUCGCCAACGCGUUCGUUUACCUAGCAGUUAGGUUUACGGAGGGUCAAAUGAGAUCAAACCCUACUAUUUUACAAAACCCUAUUCGGAGCCCUAACGUGCAAUUAACCUUCAAAUAAUCCAAAUUAAAUGGAGCAUAUAUGUUUAGAACACUCUAGAUACUACUAGAACAUCAUUCAUGAAGGAUUUAAACAAAAUCCCAAAAGCUUACCAAAAUGUGAACGCCGCGACGAAAACACGCCGCUCCAACGGGCGCACGAAAGCUCGAUCCGUCGCCUCCAACGCAUUCGCAAGCAUCUUCUCCACGAACCCUCAAAUUCUUAGAGAGAGAUUUAGAGAGAUGAGAGAGAUCUUUAGAGAGAGAAAGGAGGGUUUCUCC
rnacentral:lncRNA from 1 species